GAACGGAAAAUAUUCUAAGCUUUUUACUAUAUUAAUUUUUACUAAACCAUUAAUAAAACAGCUAACUUAAUAAAUCUCUGUUAAAAGUGACUUAGUUUAAAUGUUUAAAUUCAGUGAGAGAAAAUGCUUCAGUAUUCUCAAUGUGAAGUAAGUUAAACAGUGUGCAUAUUUGUGAAUGUGUGUGUGUGUGUGUGUGUGUUUAUUUUGUAUAUUUGUUCUUAAUAAACCUCUUUAAAUGCCCAACAAAAAUUUUGAGUGGCUAGGUUUAAUGUUUGUGUCUGUCGGUGUGUAUGUAUGUAUGUAUGUGAGUGUGUGUGUUUUGAUAGUAACUUGUUAAAAUACCCAUCAUCAACAGGAACGUGUGGUGUAACAAGUGGUAACUAUCAUUUGAAAGCGUUUGCCUCUGUUUGUCUUAUAAGGUUUUUUAUGCUUGUUCAAAUUGUCCGACAGCUGUUUCAAGUUGUGGCUUUGUGUGCAAGGGAGAAAGACAGACUUAAAAAAAUAUGAAAUAAUACUACUAAUAAUAAUGAUUCUAUUCAAAUUUCCAGCAACGAGAAAUACAAGAGGUUUCUCUAUCCCCUUCUAAAUUUUUCUCCUCCUCCUCCUACCUCCUGCUGCCUCCUCCUCCUGUAUUUUUUUCUCCUGUCUUUUGUGUGCUUAGUCCGUGUGGAGAUAAGGUUUCCGUGUUUGUCACUCUCUGGUCAGACUCUCCAUUGCCUGAUAUUGGUUAGUUAGUAGGGUUUAGGGGCAGGGGCAGGGACAACGUAGAGACCUUCAAACAUCUGGUCCAUGAUGAUGAUAAUGAUGACGACAAUGAUGAUGAUGAUGAUGAUGAUGAUGAUAUCUGCUGUGACUGUGUAGAUCUUACUCAUCACAUCUCACAUAUCCAUUGCAGAUGGAUCCCUACCACCACCUCCCACCACCACCACCACUGUCCACUUGGUACAAGAAAUGUCUUUAAUUCUCUUGCUGUUCUCUCUUAAAUUUCCUUUCCUUUUACACACACCUAAUUCUCUCUCUCUCUCUCUCUCUCUCUCUCUCUCUCUCUCUCUCUCUCUCUCUCUCUCUCUCUCCCUCUCUAUCUCCCCCUCUCUCUCUCUCUCUACUGCUCCCUUUUUCAACAUGCUCAUGUGCACACAGCCUCAUCCAACCACAUAUAUAUAAGCAUAUUAUAAUAUGCUUUCCUGCACACAUGCCCUCAUAUGCACACUCUUAUAAGCUCUCCUGCCUAUACACACACACACAUACAUACACACACACACACACACACACACACACACACACCAAUGCAGUCGCUCUUUUUCUUCCUCUCCCCGCGAACUCUCACUGCCUUUAUCUAUCUACUCUUACCUUACUCUUCGCUCUCCAUUCUCUUCUCUAACCAAACUAAUUAAUUCUACAGAAUUUCUACAGGACUGGUGGAUGUAAAUUACUGUCAAACCAUUCUUCGUCUCAGUUUCAUAUCCCGGCAUCAUCCUCUUAACACAUCUCCAUUCUAUCAUGCCCCCACCCACCCACCUCUAUCCCGCGCCAUUUGCAUUAACAAUAUAAGUUCUUGGAAACACUUUCAUAUGCGUGCACACACACACACACACACACACACAUACAUGGACAUAUACACACUCAUGUGUACUCGUGCAUUCGUUCAUUUCCAUGUAACCGCCCCCCCCCUCUCCCUCCUCCUCCUCCUCCUCUCACUCACCUUUCCUUUUGAUUCAAUUCACGGAAAGUUCAGGUGAAGGGAGAUAUUAAAAUACCUGAAAAUAGCCACUAGCUUGUGCAUGCACACACAUACACACGCACACACACAGCCUCAUCCAUAUACUGUCAUGAAUUUCCAUACACAUUACUGAUAUACUCACGCACACACACACACACACUCACACGCGCACACACACACACACACACACAUGGUCAUCAAAGUAUUAUUCUUGUCAAUGACAUUUUGUUUGUUUGUUUUUUUUCCUGUUUAAUUUUUUUUUCUGCUUUUCUGAUUUUUUGCAUUUUUCUUUUAAGAAAUAAAAAAAACAUUUGCACUUGUGCUUAUGUAAGCAAUCAUCAUCGUUAUUAUUUUUAUUAUUAUUAUUAGUAGUAGUAGUAGUAGUAUUUUAUUAUUACAAAGGGCUAGUGGACAGUAGACCCAGUGGAACGCUGAACAUAAUUGGUUCACAAUACUUAGUUUUGUUCCUCUGUUCUGAGCUCAAAUACCUUUGAGGCCAACAUUGCCUUUCAUCUUUCCAGGGUUGUUAAAUGAAGUACCAGUCGUGUACUGGGGUUGAUUUAAUUGACUCUCCUUACAAAUUUCUGACCCUGUGCCAAUGUUAACUUUCUUGUUGUUGUUAGAGUGAUUAAGGUGACUGAGAUGGUAGUAUGAUUACUGACUAAAUACUUAAAUUAUUUAGUUUCAACCCUAACUGUCCUAAGUUCGAAUCCAGCUGAAUUCCACUCACAAAGUACCUGUUAAAGUUCCCAGUUCAUAGGAAAUGAUAAGAUCCCACCAUACUGCAGGAGUUGUGAUAGAUCCCAAGGUGGCACCUUUAAAACUCUGCUUGCCUUACUAGUUUUAUGACAGUUAUGAUGAUGAUCAUCAUCAUAAUCAUUAAGUUACGAUGUAGGCUUGGCUAUCUAUUUAAGAAGGUCACUUCACAAACCUUGUAGUUCCAAGUUCAAUCCCACUGCAUGACACUUUGGGCAAGUGUCUUCAACCCUAGCCUUGAAUUAACCAAUAUCUGGUAAGCAAAAUUUUACAAAUCUGAUGUGUGUAUGUAUAUGUGUGUGUGUGUGUGUGUGCAAUUCAUUAUUGAUUACAUAUCAUUACUUGAAGUUUCAUGCUUAGCUUAUGUUAAACGAUCCUCAAAUAACAAACUCAAUCCAUUUUAAGUAUAUCCAAGGCCCAUGUGCUUUGUUAUGUUGAAUUGUUAGGUAUUAUGGAUUUCCAAAAGUUGUUAGAAGAGCAUGAUAUUGUUAGGAGGGAGUUAUUUCGCAUGGGUGAAUGGGAAUAGAGGUGAAGGACUUAAUAUAGUGGAACCAAAGAAGGAGUGCCAAGGAGUUAUGUGAAAAUUAGUAUAGGGGGCUAAAAAAUUUGAAAGUUAUAAGGUAUUAAAUGAAUAUUAUGUUGUAAAGUAAAUACAGGAGUAUCUAUGAAAAACUGAAAUGAGAGAGAGAUUGAGAAUCUUGUUGAUAAUUCUAAGUAUUGGUCAAUUCCUGUGUUUCUGGAGUUAUUGAUUUGAAAUGCUCUGUAAAUUUAUUAAGAUUUUAUUUUAGACACGAGGUUCUUUUCCUAAACUGAUUUAAAGCUGUGCUGCUAAUAUGAAUCAGUUCAUAACAUGUAAGUCAGUUGUAUUACCUGAGGCUAGAUAUACAUGCAGAAGCACAAAUGGGGAAAAAAGUCACCUCCACCAAACCAAGCCUUAACAUUGAACAUAAGCACUAUACUUCUUUCAGAGAUAUAGAAGGGAAGAAUAGAAGAACUUUUUGUAGUUAUGUCUGGACUUUGAAAAACAAAAAAACAAAAUGUGUCUUAUGACAUCAAGUGGAAGAUCCUUGUGAGAUGCAAGCUAUACAGAAAUGGUAUGAAAGUUUGCAAGCUAUGCAUAGCUGAAAAGGGUCUUCUUUUUAAAUUUCAGAUUUUAUCACCAAAAAUAUUCUACUUUGACAAGAACUUCCUAAAAAAUCUCAAUGACCGGAUCACUACUUUAUUUUUUAACAGAAGGAUGUACAGUCUUUCUCUUUCUAUUUUCUGUUUCAAUAGAUACUCCUAAGUUCAUUAUUGUUUAUCAAUAUACUCAUUAAUACUAAUAACAUUCCAUUCUCAUUUUAUUAUAGCUUUUUUAAUUCCUUCCUUUUUUUUACUCAGUCUGUGAUUUUUCACUUAUAAUUUCACAUCUUUCAUGUCUCGGUCCAAAUACCCAAGGGAAUUAACUCACCCCUAAUAACAUAUAUAUAAUGUGUUAUGGCUCUUACAAGAUUUUAAAUCCACAUUGCAAUACCAUGCUGGAUAUUUCAAAAACAGGUGUAGAUUGUUGUCUGAUGAUUGCUUGGUUUAAACUGAAUAUGAAACUUGGAGUUAUGAUGUGUUAUCAAUAAAGGAGUGAUCAAUUCAUAUAUAUAUUUUCACUCUACUAUAUGUCUUGAGUACUCUUAUUUUUGUCCAUGUAAACACCUAUAGCUUCUAUAUAUAUACAUGUAUAUCUAUAUAUAUAAAUAUUAUAGGUAUGUAUAUGUAAGAUGUUUUGUAUGUGUCUGUAUUUUGAUUUAUAAAUAAAUUUAGAUGAUGUGGUUGUUGUUGUUGUUAAUUUCUGUCAACUAAUAACAAUAUUAAUAAUAAGAAUGCUAAUCAAACUGAUGUGCAUGAACUUAAUCUGAUUUCAGUGCCAUCAGAACCUCCGGAAUAUUCUACUGGCAUCAUAUGAACCUUAGUGUAACUUUCUCUAAUAAAUAGCAUAUAUGUAUCUGUUGUUGUUGUUGUUGUUGUUGUUUGGCCCCUAGGUCAGUAGUCCUGGAUAGACAGACCUAGAUCAAAGGCAUGAUUUAAGUCAUGCAUGGACCCAUGGACCAUCAAAUCAUAUUUUCAGGAUUUCUUUACCUCAGACUACAUUAUCCAAUGUCUCCUGUUUAAAAAAAAUGAUGGGGUGUGUGGAUUGAGGGAGAUUUUUACUACUGUUUCUAACAGAUCAAGUGACUAACUGCUUGAAGACUCUAUAACCAUCUUUAUGUGUUUCUGUCUGUAUGAGUGUGACAUCUGUUUGAACCCUUUUGUAGCCAUAUUUUUGCUGAAAUACAUGCAUUCACUAUCUUUGUAUUAAUUCUGAAAAUAAGGAUUUAGUGAAACAACUUUAUUAUUAAGCUGGUGUUUUGGAACAUAAAUAAAAGUGAUAUUAUAACAGGUUUUAAUUUAGAGCAAUUAAAACCAGGAAGUUUGUACCAUAGAAGCAGGGACUCUGUAAAGUGGGUCGGUAUCAACAGGUUAGAACAGCUAAAUGACCCUUGUUUUAAAUUGCAAGGUAACAAAGAAAUCGUUUGAAAUAAGAAUUUAGGGUCCCAAAUUUCCUCUGGAAUGUAACUCCCAUAUUCACAUAUAGAAUAGAAUUUAAAAAGACAAAAAAAAAAAAAACGAAAACAAGAGAAAAGGAAAUA
rnacentral:lncRNA from 1 species